AAGCCCCCUGAAGAUACCUUCGAGACUAGGAGGUCGAUAGGCGGAAGGUGUACGCAUGGCAACAUGUUCAGCUGAUCCGUACUAAUCUAUCGUGAGGCUUGACCUC
rnacentral:rRNA from 1 species